rnacentral:rRNA from 1 species
CAGUCGCCGCGGUAAUACGGAGGAUCCAAGCGUUAUCCGGAAUCAUUGGGUUUAAAGGGUCCGUAGGCGGUCUUGUAAGUCAGUGGUGAAAGCCCAUUGCUCAACGGUGGAACGGCCAUUGAUACUGCAGGACUUGAAUUAUUGGGAAGUAACUAGAAUAUGUAGUGUAGCGGUGAAAUGCUUAGAGAUUACAUGGAAUACCAAUUGCGAAGGCAGGUUACUACCAAUUGAUUGACGCUGAUGGACGAAAGCGUGGGUAGCGAACAGGAUUAGAUACCCGUGUAGUCCCUGUCUCUUAUAC